UACGUAGGGGGCAAGCGUUAUCCGGAUUUACUGGGUGUAAAGGGAGCGUAGACGGUGCGCCAAGUCUGGAGUGAAAUGCCGCAGCUUAACUGCGGAACUGCUUUGGAAACUGGCGAACUAGAGUGCGGGAGGGGUAAGCGGAAUUCCUAGUGUAGCGGUGAAAUGCGUAGAUAUUAGGAGGAACACCGGUGGCGAAGGCGGCUUACUGGACCGUAACUGACGUUGAGGCUCGAAAGCGUGGGGAG
rnacentral:rRNA from 1 species